rnacentral:rRNA from 1 species
GCGCGNCUACCAUGCAGUCGAGCGGUAGAGAGAAGCUUGCUUCUCUUGAGAGCGGCGGACGGGUGAGUAAUGCCUAGGAAUCUGCCUGGUAGUGGGGGAUAACGUUCGGAAACGAACGCUAAUACCGCAUACGUCCUACGGGAGAAAGCAGGGGACCUUCGGGCCUUGCGCUAUCAGAUGAGCCUAGGUCGGAUUAGCUAGUUGGUGAGGUAAUGGCUCACCAAGGCGACGAUCCGUAACUGGUCUGAGAGGAUGAUCAGUCACACUGGAACUGAGACACGGUCCAGACUCCUACGGGAGGCAGCAGUGGGGAAUAUUGGACAAUGGGCGAAAGCCUGAUCCAGCCAUGCCGCGUGUGUGAAGAAGGUCUUCGGAUUGUAAAGCACUUUAAGUUGGGAGGAAGGGCAGUUACCUAAUACGUGAUUGUUUUGACGUUACCGACAGAAUAAGCACCGGCUAACUCUGUGCCAGCAGCCGCGGUAAUACAGAGGGUGCAAGCGUUAAUCGGAAUUACUGGGCGUAAAGCGCGCGUAGGUGGUUUGUUAAGUUGGAUGUGAAAUCCCCGGGCUCAACCUGGGAACUGCAUUCAAAACUGACUGACUAGAGUAUGGUAGAGGGUGGUGGAAUUUCCUGUGUAGCGGUGAAAUGCGUAGAUAUAGGAAGGAACACCAGUGGCGAAGGCGACCACCUGGACUAAUACUGACACUGAGGUGCGAAAGCGUGGGGAGCAANCAGGAUUAGAUACCCUGGUAGUCCCCGCCGUAANCGAUGUCAACUAGCCGUUGGAAGCCUUGAGCUUUUAUGGNNCANCUAACNAUUAANUUGACCCCUGGGGAGUACGCCCCNAGGUUAANCUCAAUGAUUGANG